rnacentral:rRNA from 1 species
UACGGAGGGAGCUAGCGUUGUUCGGAAUUCCUGGGCGUAAAGCGCACGUAGGCGGCUUUGUAAGUUAGAGGUGAAAGCCCGGAGCUCAACUCCGGAAUUGCCUUUAAGACUGCAUCGCUUGAAUCCGGGAGAGGUGAGUGGAAUUCCGAGUGUAGAGGUGAAAUUCGUAGAUAUUGGGAGGAACACCAGUGGCGAAGGCGGCUCACUGGACCGGCACUGACGCUGAGGCGCGAAAGCGUGGGGAGCAAACGGG